AUUGAACGCUGGCGGCAGGCCUAACACAUGCAAGUCGAGCGAGCGGCGGACGGGUGAGUAAUGUAUGGGGACUGCCCGAUAGAGGGGGAUAACUACUGGAAACGGUGGCUAAUACCGAAUACUAUCGGAUAACCCAUAUGGGAUUAGCUAGUAGGUGGGGUAAAGGCUAACCUAGGCGACGAUCUUUAGCUGGUCUGAGAGGAUGAUCAUCCACACGGGGACGGAGACACGGCCCAGAAUCCUACGGAGGCAGCAGUGGGGAAGAUGGCACAAGGGGCGCAAGCCUGAUGCAGCCAUGCCGCGUGUAUGAAGAAGGCCUUAGGGUUGUAAAGUACUUGCAGCGGGGAGGCGUUACCCGCAGAAUAAGCACCGGCUAAAUCCGUGCCAGCAGCCGCGGUAAUAC
rnacentral:rRNA from 1 species